CAAGCGGACCCUCGUCAGUGUGCUGUAGAGUCUGGGACUCUUUUAAACGGGACCUCGCGGCUUUGCCAGAGACCGCAGUUGCAGUCCCUUCCCUUCCCUUCCCUUCCCUUCCCUUCUCUCUCUUUUGCUUUCGCUUUCUCUUUCCUCUCUCUGUUUCUCUCGCUGCUUUUUUGAUUUGGCGGGGCCCUGAGCCUGCAAAUCCAGCAAACCUCCCACCUAGAUUUUUGAUUAUUAAAUCUUAACUCAGAAGCGAACCCCCUUCCUUACCAUCACUGAGGCCCCCAAAAAAGCCCCAGUCCUCUGUUGCGUCUCAAGUGAUUGUGUUUUUUCUUUCCUUUUUUAUUUUUUAUUUUCCUGAAAGGAUUUUCAGGAUGUCUGCGAGUUUGGACGACGCCGAGUUUUGGCUACCACCUGAGUUUCUCACCGACGACGACUUGGCCACUGACAAGAAUAAUAACUGCAAGAGCGAAGGUAAUGGGUUCCGCUCCGAUACUGAGGCGACGAGGUCUUUGUUCCACUUCGAGUUUCCCUACGGGUUUGGCUCUUUCGGCACUUCGUCGGAUCUCGGUUCUCCGGUUGAGUCCGUUGUCGGUUCGAGUGAGACGGAGAGCGACGAGGAGGACUAUGUCGCUGGGCUGACCCGCCAAUUGGCACACUCGACUCUGGCGGACGAUGUCAGGAAGUCAGGCUCUCCUUUUCCCUCUGAGAAUCAGAAGGCUUGGGUUAUUUCCGGUUCUCCACAGUCGACCCUGUGCGCGAUGGGGAGCGGAUGUGGUUGCAAACAGGGCUCGAGCCAUGGAAGCCCGAACUGUGCUUCUCAGGUCUCUUCCCAGCCUGCUACUUGGGAUCUGCUUUACGCUGCUGCAGGGGAGGUUGCUAGGAUGAGAAUGGACGAAGAGAUUUACGGACUUAACCAUGGCAGCGGUCUCUUGGGUCCCCUAAGAAAGCCCUCUCCAGACACCAUCUCCGUGAAGAACGACUCCAACGCUGAUGUUGGAAUUUUUUCUAACCAGUCGCUUUCCCACCAGCAGUUGCAAAUGCAAGCCAGUCAAUUUCAGCAGUUAAGGGAGCAACAAAUGUUGAAGCAACAUGGUUCGGCAGCUUGGGAUGCACAAAUGAAAGCGACUGCACGAUACCAACAGCGGCAGACCCAGCAAAUGGUACUAAACCGGGGUAGAAACAGCGAGUACGUUGGAGGCCGAAACGGUCGUCCUCUAGGUUUGUCAGCAUCUGCAUGGCCCCCUCUGCAGCCGGCUCAGCAAAAGCACCAGCAGCAGCGUCAGCAAAAUGGCUCUGGCAUGAGAGCUGUAUUUCUUGGAAAUCCUGGUGGUAAAAAGGAAUGCACCGGUACGGGUGUGUUCUUGCCUCGCCGCGUUGAUUGUCCAUCUGAUACACGCCGAAAGCCAGGUCCAGUCUCUCUUGAUAAUUCGAUUAUAACUCUGCUGGGUGUUCCACCGUCUUAGUUCCGGCAAGAGUGGUGCAGGCUCUGAACCUGAACUUGGAAGAUAUGUUGGGCUCGCAGCCCCAGCACCUGCCUCGAUUUAGUGGGACUAUUACUCCAGACGGUGAUGCUGCACUAAGGCUUAGAAGCAACAGCGUCUUUUCUCAUCAGAAGCGAAAUCUCCGGCCGCAGCCAGAAGCUACGAAUCAUGAGAUCCGGUUACCCCAGGAGUGGACCUAUUGAUUCCCUUUUGCAUCUGGGUCCUUAAUUUCGGCGUUUUCUUUUUCUUGGGGAUGUUUUAGGAAAAGAAACAUGAAAGAAAUUGGAAGCCUUUUAGUAUUUUUUUGCUAUAGGGAUAGGGUCACAUUAAGAUACAGUUCCAGAACAAGAAAGGGCAAGGGGAAUGGAGAUGAUGAAGAACAGGAAGAAUAGGGUUUUUUGGGCUAGGUUUAGAGGUAAUAAGUGUCUUGCUUUGCAGCAAAGUGAAAGAUGCUCUAAAGCUUUUGUUCUUUUGGUGGAUGGAUGGAUGAUAGGGAGUCAUUUUGUAUUUUGGGGAAAUAAAUUUGCGAGGGAUUCAUUGAAAAAUCAUGGAUGUUGUGGGGUGGGGGAGUUAAGAGCCCUGCAUUUGGAUGAUGGGGUGGGGUUGUACCAUGUUUUGUUUGGUGUAUAAUUACAACCCCUUCUCUUCUAUUAUAUUUGGCAUUAUUAGGUGCUAUAUAGAAAGCACAGGUAUUGUCCCUGAAAUUUGAAUACCCAAACCUGUCUACCCAACAAUUUUGCCAUCCAGUAAUAAUAACAGAGAGACUUCUUUAGCUGUCCUAA